rnacentral:rRNA from 1 species
CCUUCCUGCUCGAUGCCUGGCUCGACCAGUACGAACACGACAUAGAAUUCAAUUUGGCUGCGAGCACCGGACCGACCUGGACCGUAAACGACAUCCUUGCCCUCGCCGACGACGAAACGCGCCACCGCUUCCUGAACCACAACCUGGUCUACAGCCGCCCCGCCGGCGCCGAUAGUCUGCGUGAGGCGAUCGCUGAAAUGCAGCGUGUGCCGGUAGAGGCCGUUCAAAUCGUGACCGGCGCCUCCGAGGCGCUCGUGGCCUGAUGUGGCUGGCCGCCGAGACCGAUAGCGCACAAGUA